CGGGCUGGGCCGCUGCGGGGCUGGGAGGAGCGGCGGGGAGCCCAGCGGGCCGGGCCGGGCUGGGGGGGAGCCGAGGCGGGAGGUGCCGGUGCCGCCCGUCAGAGAGAAAAUGCCACUCUGCUUUACGUCCACUUACCUUCUGAAGCCUCUCCAUGUGCCCCGGCAGCUGCUUAGAUUCCAAAACGCAGUUUGCAACAAGUGGAUUCCAGAGUCGGGAUAACGUGGUUGUGUGAGAUGAUGUGGGAGCUACUCCUAAACGUAUCAGCCCAGCAAGGAUGAAACCAAGUCAGCUGUCAAGUGGAUGUACAGGGAAGUAAGAUGAUGCAGUAGAGGUCUGAAGGAGCUGUGAAACUGAACCCUGGGCCUUUGCAGUCCUCUUUUGUGUUCUUUCCCAUGAUAAACCAAGUGGAAUUCAAGCCUGAUACACAGACUGGGAAGCUCCUUAUCCCACUCUUUCCCUCCUCUUCCCUGGGCUGCCUCUCUCUGUGCCAGGUUAUCAUAGUGUCUGCCAGCAUGCAGUUGUCUGGAGUGAAAGGAGAAAACAAAUGACUGUAUGGACAGCCACAGGCCUAAGCUGAACAAAGUUACUUUGGAAAGGGUGAAUAUCUGAGCUAUUUAAAAGGUCAGCCCUUUGCUUCUAAUGUGUUACUCUUCAUUCCUUUGCCUUCUCUCAAGACAGACUUACUUAUACGAGCUGCCAGAGGGCAUGCGUUUUCUGCCUAUUUGGAGCUGUCCUGGAAGAGGCAGUGAUUUUCCUUCUUGGAUUAUUGCACAAGAACAUGAAAGACAGUUGUACUACUCAUACAGAUUUUCUUGGAAAUGCUUGUUGUUUUUUUCCCUGAAUAUUUUUGUGCUAUGCUGGAUCUUGUCCUUAUCAAUGAGGAAGGGCUGGUGAGGGAUGCUGAGCUCAAGGGCAGCCUAGGUUGUAGUGACCAUGAAAUGGUGGAGUUCAAGAUCCUUAGGGCAGCAAGGAGGGCUCACAGCAAGCUUACUACCCUUGACUUCAGGAGGGCAGAUUUCAGCCUCCUCAGGGAUCUGCUGAAGAGAGUGUCUUGGGAUAACAUCCUGGAGGGUAGAGGGGCCCAUGAAAGCUGGUUGAUAUUUAAGGAUCACCUUCUCCAGGCCUAAGAGUGUUGCAUCCCAACUAAGAGGAAGUCAAGUAGAAACUCCCAAGAUGCUGGCAUAGAUGAGCAAGCAGCUCCUAGAAAAGCUCAAACUUAAGAAGGAAGCAUACGGGGCGUGGAAGCUAGGGCAGGUAUGCUGGGAGGAUUACAGAGAGGUUGUCAGUGCAGCUAGGGAUCAGGUUAGGAGAGCCAAAUCCCUGCUAGAAUUAACUCUCACCAGGGAUGUUAAGAUGAUCAAAGGCCUGGAGCAGCUCUGCUAUGAAGACAGGCUAAGGAAAUUGGGGCUGUUCAGCCUAGAGAAGAGAAGGCUCUGGGGAGACCUUAUAGCAGCCUUCCAGUACUUGAAAGGGGCUUACAGGAAAGCUGGGGAGGGGCAUUUCAUCAGAGAAGGUAGUGAUAGGAAAAGGGGUAAUGAUUUUAAACUGAGAGAGGGGAGAUUUAGGUUAGAUAUUAGGAAGAAAUUCUUCAUUGUAAGGGUGGUGAGGAACUGUAAUGGGUUUCCCAGGGAGGUUGUUGAUGCCCCAUCCCUGGAGGUUUUUAAGGCCAGGUUGGAUGAGGUUUUGUGCUACCUGAUCUAGUGGUAGGGUUCCCUGCUCAUGGCAGGGGGGUUGGAACUUGAUGACCUUUAAGGUCCCUUCCAACCUUAAUGAUUCUAUGAUUAAAAUUUUAAGAUUUUGCACAUUUGUCUAAGAUUAUCAUCCCAGUUUUGCAGCUGGUCAGCACACAGAGGAUAACUCCAACACACUUAAGGGAGUGUGUUAAUUCCAACACACUGUUUUUUUAAGUGUAGAUCACCUGCACUUAAUAGGGAAAUGAGGCCAGGAUUUCCAGCACACAUCAGACUGCAAACGCACAGUCUGGAGCACACAUAUGCUUGGUUCUGACUUGGAAAAUACCUCAUGGAAAUCUGGCAGCUGUAAAGUGAAUCAAACAAAAUAAUUUAAAAUUCCAGUGGCCUUAAGGAGAUCUUUGGUUCCUUGUACCAGGGAAAUGUCAAGUAGUCCGUUUACUGAUUUUAUUUCAAAAGUUGUCUUUAUUCUGUAUGUAUUGCCAAGAGUUCAUCUGUAAGCUUCUGAUUUAUCUUCUGAAUACCAUACAGCAUUCCAGCUAAUUCCUAAGACAUACCUUUGUCCAAGAUUAUAUUUUCCUCAAACUGAAAUAGACAUUUUCUGUCCUGCAGAUAAACACAGAAGGUCUGGUGGUUUGUUCAAUGACUUGUGUUUCAAACAUCAUUAUUUAUUAACAUUUUCCAUUUCCUUCAUAGCUUUCGGAUUCAAGUUACAUGAGGCCUAAAAUGUACACAGCAUAAGGCCACUUUUUCCUUUGUUGCAUGGAGAUAAUUGUAACACAGGCAAUUAUCCUACAGAUUAUCUAUUUAUUUUACAGUUUUUAAGAAUUGCAGUUCUCAGCUCUUGCAGUUUUAGAGCAAGCUCUAGGAGAUUUUGAAGGGUGUGUGCAAUUACUCUGGAAAGAAGGGAGAGAUCUUCCCCUGCAGAUUGGAAGCUGGAGGCCACCACAGCAUUCUCAGGUUACUGGACUGAGUCCUAGACAAGACCAGCUUAAAAGCCCUUUUAACCUCUGUUGGUUGGCAGCUCACAGCCCAAAAGAACCAAUGACUGGCAAAAAGGGAUUAGCAAAAGCACGGAUGAAGAACCCCAUAGCCCUUCCACUGGUCAGAACACUCUGAUGGAUCAGCAAGGAACCCCUGUGUUGACUUUGCUGUAUUGAGAAGACCUCAGGACCAGUCUUGUCAACUGUACAACUGAUUUGUGCCAGUCAUCCAGCAGAAUCCAUAGCUCAGCCCUAGAGCAUGGUUCAGGAUAUGAGACAAAAUCUAGAAAGACAGUCACAUUUUUACUUAAUUUCAUAUGAUGAGGUUGAUAGUGAAAACAAGCAAAGUCAGUUAUGCUAGAGUGGCCUCAGAAGUGAGUAUUGGGCAAAAGCAGAAAGAACAGCUCUCACAACUCCCAGAAGGAUCCUCCUGAUUAUGAAAAAAAUAGUGCAUGAUACAGUGUCAAAGACCUUCUCUCCUGCAAGCAGGAAAAAUAGUCAUGUGAUGAAUAGGCACAUGCUGUUUCACUAUUUAAAGAUAUAUAAUAUGUAUGAUGCGAUCUUUUUAAACCAUCUUCCUAUCAAAACUGCUGCCUUCCUUCCCUGGGAAGGAAACCCGAGAGGAAGUGUAUUUGUGUAUAUCUGAGCACGCCCUCAUCUUUGUCAUUCUGGAAAUGGCAUGGAGCAGGAUGCUGCUCAAAUUGGGAAGUUGACGGGGCAGGCCAUGAGUCCCCAGAGCAACAUGACCUGGUUCUUUAUAAGCAGCUGGUUCCACCAAGGACACCCUAACUAUCAAAAAAUACAUGCUCAAGCUCUGUGGUUCCCUUUUUUCCCCCGCUAUGGCAACAAUGAAAUGUCCAGCCUCCCUCACAAUCUCCAAAGAAAUCCUGAUUUUUUAAUUUUUUUUUCUGGAAUUUGACUCCUGCUUCCUGGCUUUGGCUUGAUGGUGGUAAUUGCAAGCCUCCUGGUCCAAGUAGAAAGAUGAUCUAUGCUCUAUUUAUGUUACUGCCUGUUAAGCUUUAAAGCUAUACAGCCUCUCCCUUAUCAUGCAGUGCCUCAUCAUCAGCAUGACUAAGGACAGGUUGUUCACCAAUAAAGCAAUUACCUUUGCUAGAAAUAGCUAUCAUUAUAAAUCUCAGCUUUCCUGUCCUUCUGUAUAUGAACCUGCAGAAAUAUCACUGAGGAAAUCAACUAAUCAGGUUAUGUCAAGUUUACAAGAGCAUUUGGCUUUUUGAGGCAAUGGGCCAUGCAUGUGAGGUUACCUUUAUCUGCUACAUUUUAAACUUUCUUCUAGAUCCCAUCAAAAGUUUGAUCCCAUGUUAUUGAAGGGAGGGGAGAACUUGCACUGACCUCAGUAGAUGUGGAUAAACUGCCAUCCUCCUGAUUCCCAGUACAUGUAGCUAACUGAUACGUGAUGCCUUAAAAUUCGCUUCUGUAACAAGUAAUGCUCACCAAGUCCUGUGGCAGCACACUUGCCUGCUUUUUUUCUUUGUUUCUUCACAUCUCAGCAGUAAUUAAAAAAGACAUAUACAGAGCAUAUCAUAAAAACAUAUGCAGCAACAAUUUUAUUUUUUGCUCCUCCCUGCUUUUAUUUCUUGUUUGUUGCUGGAAAAAAAUCCACUGGACUCUCUUUUCACAUAAUCUGAUGGCACCCAAUACCCAUUAUAUACUAGAGGAAAAAAUGCUUUGAAUUUUCCUUCUGCUAGAUAUUGGUGACAUCUGGGAGGAGAAGGGGGAGGGGCGGAAUACCCUGUUUUACCUGUGUGAUGAGAGCCUGACUUGGAGACUGGCAGCUGAGGAAAGGCCAUUCCCACACUGCAGAGUUAGCCAGCCCAGUUGCUAUCACAGCCUGUAAGGAAAGCAUUAUCAUUUCAGCAACACUCCCAACUGCACUUAAGGCACGAGGCAUAAAAACAUCACCAUUUGUUCUUGCCUUACCAGCAAAAGAAACAGAUUUUAGGAUGCGCUGUGGCCGGCUGGUGUUUGUUAAUGCUCUGCCAUGGGCCAAGGCAGGCUGGCCAGGCUAGUGAAGCACUUACCACAGACCAGCUUCACCUGCUUGGUGUCCCCAGCCUGGGCCUGCUCCCAGCCACAGGCACUGAGCUGUGCACAGGCUCCUAUCCUGCUGGACCUCUAGGGCCUGCCCCCCCAGACAGCAGGCUCACACCAGGUCUGCUGCCAAGGGUAGUCUGCAGAGACAGGCUGGGCUAACUCACCAGCACCUCUUUUUUUAUGGAUUCCUUCAUUCUCCCAUUCUCCUGCUGUGUGGCCAGAGCCUGCACUGGUAUGUGGUGAGACCCUGUCAAGUCUUCAACCAGGCAGUGAGUGCCUCCCCUCCAGGCUCUGUGCCAGAUGGGGUACCCAAAAGGCCUGUCCUCCGGUGGCAGCCUCAUGUCACAACCCCUUUGCUCUCCUGUGACCAGCUUCAUUAUGCUACACUGGAGGCACUUGUCCUGCCUGUCUCACUUAACCCCUCUGCCCAAAUGUUGUAGGUCAAGUCAAGCAGGCUGGUUCAAAAAAAGCAGAUUAAAAACAUCUUCACCUGUCCUUCCCUCUCUUGUCUGGCUGAGAUUCAUCCCAAACCACUCAGCAGGAGGGGGGACGUUGUAUUUAUCUGCUGACAAGGUGUAGGAUAGGAGUCACAUUCCUAAAAUGCAGAAGCUGCAAUGCAGUUGAGCCUGUGGAGGCAAGACAAAAGAUGGAGUAUUGAUGGUGAAGCUCACACCCUACAGACAGCAUUUCCCUAUUCUGUAUCAUAAAACUCUGGAUUAACACUGCUCUCUCCAAGUUUAUUAUCAGUUCUGUUAGCUUGCAAUGGUCUGAGAAUGACUUUUGUCAUUCACCUUUUGAAAUCCUUGAGAAUCGUGUACGUCUUAAUGGCCCCCAUUUCUCUCUUAAAAAAAUAAAGUAGUAAGAAAAAAAAGUAGCAGGCUGUACUUGGUCCAUAAAUAACAACUUUCGAUCUUUUAUCAUGCUUAGUGUCUCUUGUAACUUUUCCAGUUCUUCAAUACCCUUCCUGUGUGGUCUCCCUAGCCUUUUUACAAAGUAUAAUUAUGCUUGUAUAGGCCAUCCUGUAGCACUAAUGAGGUAAGGAAUGCCCUUCUCCCUCUAUUUUAAAAAUAAAUAUCACAUUUCUCACCAAAUAAUCCAGCUGUUAAUUUAAGAUGCCCUUUAGGAGCAAUGUCCUUGAUUCUCUGGAACUGUUCAGUUUUUCUGAUUGUAAUAAUUAUUAUUUUUUUUUUCUACAGUUGUUUUCAACCUUAAACAUGACCUUCUUUUUUAAUAUA